rnacentral:lncRNA from 1 species
AUGUCUCUAUGUCAGCUGUCUUUCCACUGCUCCAAGCCACCUGCCCUGCUGCCCUCCGUUUCCCCUCCAGGUCACUGUUGUGCGGACCAUGCAACCCGAGUCUCAAAGACUCACGGAUCCCCUUGCUGUGCUCUAGGACCCAGUCCUAGCACCUCCUAACCUCCCCAAGAGGGCAAAAAGCAGCCUAGGUCUGGUGAGGGUGGCCAAGGCCAGAGGAUUCUGUUAGUAUGCAGAUCAAAGGAGGAGCAUGGGCAAAGUGACAAGGUUUGUGAUGGAGCAGAACAGUGUCAGGAAGUGAUGUGAAGCUCAGCGUGGCUCGUGGAUGUUGAGAAGUGAGGUUGAUGGGCAGGGGGUGCUGGACCACAGAAGACCAGGUGUUCCAAGUGGGGCAAAGAUGUGGUCUGUGAGAGGCUGAGAGCCACUGAAGACCUGUGGUUUAUCAGAGACUGCUGUGGUGGCAGAGUGGAGGCAGGAUGAGGCAGGGAGCUGCUCCAGGUUCCUGACUGCCGGUCCCUGCCAGUGCUGGUACAUUCCUCAAGGCUUCUCAGUGGCUUUCCAUUAUUUCCAUAGAGGGGUCACCUUUAGUUUUGGGGAGUUUAUUUUUGAGAUGGGGUCUCACUCAUGUUCCCAGGCUUGUCUCGAACUCCUGGGCUCAAACAGUCCACCUGCCUCAGAUUCCCAAAGUGUUGGGAUUACAGGCAUGAACCACCGCGUCGGCCAC